UCCGUAGGGUGCAAGCGUUAAUCGGAAUUACUGGGCGUAAAGCGUGCGCAGGCGGUUAUGUAAGACAGAUGUGAAAUCCCCGGGCUCAACCUGGGAACUGCAUUUGUGACUGCAUAGCUAGAGUACGGUAGAGGGGGAUGGAAUUCCGCGUGUAGCAGUGAAAUGCGUAGAUAUGCGGAGGAACACCGAUGGCGAAGGCAAUCCCCUGGACCUGUACUGACGCUCAUGCACGAAAGCGUGGGGAGCAAACAGG
rnacentral:rRNA from 1 species